CUUUACUGCAUUUUUACAUUGUUACUAAAAUUAAUUUGUGUAGCAUAGGUGGAAGUUUAAAUUAAUUUUUAAACGUCAGUGAAAUACCACUCUUUUAAAUUUUAGAACUUUAUUUUUGAUUUUUCAAGAAGACCGUGUAUGAUUGGUAGUUUAACUGGGGCGGUUUCCUCCUAAAGAGUAACGGAGGAGUGCAAAGGUAGAUUCAGACUGGAUUUAAAAUCAGUUGUGGAGUGUAAUGGUAAAAGUCUGCUUGACUAUAAGACAGACAUGUCAAAUAGAAACGAAAGUUUGCCAUAGUGAUCCGGUAAUUUUGUGUGGAAAAGUUAUCGCUCAACGGAUAAAAGGUA
rnacentral:rRNA from 1 species